rnacentral:rRNA from 1 species
UACGUAGGGGGCUAGCGUUGUCCGGAAUCAUUGGGCGUAAAGAGCGCGUAGGCGGUCCGGCAAGUCCGCUGUGAAAGUCGGGGGCUCAACCCUCGGAUGCCGGUGGAUACUGUCGGGCUUGAGUACGGAAGAGGCGAGUGGAAUUCCUGGUGUAGCGGUGAAAUGCGCAGAUAUCAGGAGGAACACCAAUGGCGAAGGCAGCACUCUGGGACGUGACUGACGCUGAGACGCGAAAGCGUGGGGAGCAAACAGG